rnacentral:rRNA from 1 species
GACAGAGGUGCCGAGCGUUAGGCGGAAUCACUGGGCUUAAAGCGUGUGUAGGCGGAUGCCUAAGUACCUUGUGAAAUCCCACGGCUUAACCUGGAACUGCUUGGUAUACUGGGUGUCUUGAGCCACUUAGGGGCGACCGGAACAAACGGUGGAGCGGUGAAAUGCGUAGAUAUCGUUUGGAACGCCAAUGGUGAAAACAGGUCGCUGGGAGUGCGCUGACGCUGAGACACGAAAGCCAGGGGAGCGAACGGU